rnacentral:rRNA from 1 species
GACGAACGCUGGCGGCGUGCCUAAUACAUGCAAGUCGAACGCAGUGGGGACGGGUGAGUAACACGUGGGUAACCUCCCAUCAGAGGGGAUAACACUUGGAAACAGGUGCUAAACCGAUACUGAUGGAUGGAUCCGCGGUGCAUUUGCUAGUUGGUGGGGUAACGGCUCACCAAGGCCAAGAUGCAUAGCCGACCGUGGAGGGUGCUCGGCCACCCUGGGACUGAGACACGGCCCAGACGCCUACGGGAGGCAGCAGUAGGGAAUCUGCGGCAAUGGACGAAAGUCUGACCGAGCAACGCCGCGUGAGUGAAGAAGGUUUUCGGAUCGUAAAACUCUGUUGUUAGAGAAGCGGUAGCUAAAGAGAAAGCCACGGCUAACUACGUGCCAGCAGCCGCGGUAAUUG